CAGUCCGAAACGGCUGCUAAUACCGAAUACGUUCUCUUUAUCGCAUGGUAGAGGGAAGAAAGGGGAGCUCUUCGGAGCUUUGCUGAAGGAGGGGCUUGCGUCUGAUUAGCUAGUUGGAGGGGUUAACGGCCCACCAAGGCGACGAUCAGUAGCCGGUCUUGAGAGGAUGAACGGCCACAUUGGGACUGAGACACGGCCCAGACUCCUACGGGAGGCAGCAGUGGGGAAUCUUCCGCAAUGGACGAAAGUCUGACGGAGCAACGCCGCGUGAACGAUGACGGCCUUCGGGUUGUAAAGUUCUGUUAUACGGGACGAAUGGCGUAGCGGUCAAUACCCGUUACGAGUGACGGUACCGUAAGAGAAAGCCACGGCUAACUACGUG
rnacentral:rRNA from 1 species